AAGUCGUACAAGGUCUCCGUUGGUGAACCAGCGGAGGGAUCAUUACCGAGUUUACAACUCCCAAACCAUGUGAACAUUACCUCUAUGUUGCUUCGGCGGAGCGCCCCGGCGCCGGAACCCCCUGCGGUCCCGCGGCCCGGAACCAAGGCGCCGCCGGAGGGCACAAACUCUUCUGUUUUUACAGUUCUUCUGAGUGUGCCGCAAGGCAGUAUACAAAUGAUCAAAACUUUCAACAACGAUCUCUUGGUUCUGCAUCGAUGAAAACGCAGCGAAAUGCGAUAAGUAAUGUGAAUGCAGAAUUCAGUGAAUCAUCGAAUCUUUGAACGCACAUGCGCCGCAGAAUUCUGGCGGGCAUGCUGUUCGAGCGUCAUUUCAACCCUCGAGCUCCCCUUUCGGGGGGAGCCCGGCGUUGGGGACCCGGCGCUAACAACGCCGGCCCCGAAAUGGAGUGGCGCCCGCCCGCGCGACCUCUGCGUAGUAACAACCACUCGCACCGGGACCGGCGCGGCCACGCCGUAAAACACCCACCUUCCGAAUGUUGACCUCGAAUCAGGUAGGAAUACCGCUGAACUUAA
rnacentral:rRNA from 1 species